GACACGGCCCAGACUCCUACGGGAGGCAGCAGUGGGGAAUCUUGCGCAAUGGGGGGAACCCUGACGCAGCGACGCCGCGUGCGGGACGGAGGCCUUCGGGUCGUAAACCGCUUUCAGCAGGGAAGAGUCAAGACUGUGCCUGCAGAAGAAGCCCCGGCUAACUACGUGCCAGCAGCCGCGGUAAUACGUAGGGGGCGAGCGUUAUCCGGAUUCAUUGGGCGUAAAGCGCGCGUAGGCGGCCCGGCAGGCCGGGGGUCGAAGCGGGGGGCUCAACCCCCCGAAGCCCCCGGAACCUCCGCGGCCUGGGUCCGGUAGGGGAGGGUGGAACACCCGGUGUAGCGGUGGAAUGCGCAGAUAUCGGGUGGAACACCGGUGGCGAAGGCGGCCCUCUGGGCCGAGACCGACGCUGAGGCGCGAAAGCUGGGGGAGCGAACAGGAUUAGAUACCCUGGUAGUCCCAGCCGUAAACGAUGGACGCUAGGUGUGGGGGGACGAUCCCCCCGUGCCGCAGCCAACGCAUUAAGCGUCCCGCCUGGGGAGUACGGCCGCAAGGCUAAAACUCAAAGGAAUUGACGGGGGCCCGCACAAGCAGCGGAGCAUGUGGCUUAAUUCGAAGCAACGCGAAGAACCUUACCAGGGCUUGACAUAUGGGUGAAGCGGGGGAGACCCCGUGGCCGAGAGGAGCCCAUACAGGUGGUGCAUGGCUGUCGUCAGCUCGUGUCGUGAGAUGUUGGGUUAAGUCCCGCAACGAGCGCAACCCCCGCCGCGUGUUGCCAUCGGGUGAUGCCGGGAACCCACGCGGGACCGCCGCCGUCAAGGCGGAGGAGGGCGGGGACGACGUCAAGUCAUCAUGCCCCUUAUGCCCUGGGCUGCACACGUGCUACAAUGGCCGGUACAGAGGGAUGCCACCCCGCGAGGGGGAGCGGAUCCCGGAAAGCCGGCCCCAGUUCGGAUUGGGGGCUGCAACCCGCCCCCAUGAAGUCGGAGUUGCUAGUAAUCGCGGAUCAGCAUGCCGCGGUGAAUGCGUUCCCGGGCCUUGCACA
rnacentral:rRNA from 1 species